AGAGUGGACUCCCCAGAUUGGAAGAACAGCACCCCUCUGUCACUCUCUCCUUCAGACUUAGGAAGGGAAAAGCCCAUAAUCACCAGAACCUAGCCACCAUGCUGUGAGGAAGCGCAAGCCGCCCAUGCAGAAAGACCAGACGGAGAAAGCUUGAAAGUACCUAGAGAAAGCGCAAUGCCUGUCCUGCUCCAGCUGCUCCAACUCCCACGUUCCAGCCCCAGCUACCACCUGACUGCCAUCUCUGCAAUCUCAUGAUUGAACCAGAUGAGCCCUUCUCAAAUGGUUUUAAGCUGCUAAUCUGCCAGGAGGAUGUGUUAUAUAACCACAGUAACUAGAACAGCAUAUUCUUUUUUAAAAAAAUUUGUUUUUAUUUAUUUAUUUGGCUGUGCCAGCUCUUGGUUGUGGCAUGUAGGAUCUUCUAUCUUUAUUGCAACAUGUGGGAUCUUUAGUCGUGACCUACAAACUCUUAGUUUUGGCAUGUGGACUCUAGUUCCCUGACCUAGGAUGGAACCUGGGCCUUCUGCGUUGGGAGCAUGGAAUCUUAGCCAUUGGACCACCAGGGAAGUCCCUAGUAUAGUAUAUUCUGAAGAACAGAGGUCUUCAGAAGAGCAUGAGAGCCAUUUUCAAGUGUCUGAAGGGCUGUUGGUGUAGAAGAGGAGUUUAAUUUGCAGUGGGGGAAGCUCCAGGAGGCAGCGCUGAAAUCAACAGUUGCAAUUUACAAGAAGGCAAAUUUGAUUCUUCAUGGUGGUUUAGUUGCUCAGUUGAGUUCGACUCAUGCAACCCUGUGCACUGCAGCCUGCCAGGCUCCUCUGUCCAUGGGAUUCUCCAGGCAAGAAUACUGGAGUGGAUUGCCAUUUCCUUCUCUAGAGGACCUUCCUGACCCAGGAAUCGAACCCUGGUCCCCUGCGUUGCAGGCAGAUUCUUUACCAACUGAGCUAGGAGGGAAGCCCUUCGCUAUCAGUAGAAUGUUAGAGUCACCCAUGAGAGAGCACUCUGCCAGCAAACAAACUCAAGCAGCGGGAUGACCAUUUGGGAGGAGGGUUGUAGGGACAGCUAAGUCAUGGCCAACUCUUUUGUGACCCCAUGCACUACAGCGCACUAGGCUCCACUGUCCAUGGGAUUUUCCAGGCAAGAAUACUGGAGUGGGUUGCCAUUCCCUUCUCCAGGGGAUCUUUCCAACCCAAGGAUCGAAACUGCAUUGCAGGUGGACUCCUUGUGGAUGGAGCCACCAGGGAAGCCCAAUCUCACAUGAGUUAGGAUUAAAACUGUUUUGAAGAAGAAACAUUUGGUAAACUCUUCUCAGAAGAGAUGAGGGACUUUCAAGCUGGAGAGAGUUGGGAAAGAUGGAAAAACAGAAGGACUACUUGGCAAAAACAAACAAACAAAACCCCAACCAAUCAACCAACUGAAAAAACAAGAGGAAACUAUUUAACCAGCAAUAGCAAAUUAACCAUGCCCCUCUCACCUUAAGACCGCUUAUCUAUUUAUGGUGUGUUAUGGGCCAGCAUGGGCUUCCCUGGUGGCUCAGAGGAUAAAGAAUCUGCCACCAAUGCAAGAGCCCCAAGUUCAAUUGCUGGGUGGGCAAGAUCCCCUGGAAGAAGGCAUGGCAACCCACUCCAGUAUUCUUGCCUGGAGAAUCCCAUGGAUAGUGGAGCCUGGUGGGCGGGCUACAGUCCAUAGGUACACAAAGAGACAUGACCGAGAGACACACACACUCACACGUGCACCAGCAUCCUCCCAGACCCUCAAUUCUCACAUCCCAGUGCUGCUGAGUUAUUUCACUCUUAUCUCCACAUACUUGGCACACAGUUGGCCCCCAAGACAACUUCGAAUGACCUUAUGAAAGACUGAAUUUCUACAUUUAAGCGAGCUGGAAAGAUUUCCCCUGGUCUCAACUCGGGAUUAUAGACUCUGUGUUCGCUUGAACAGGCCUACGCGGCACCUAGAAGUGCACGCCCAAGAAGCACUUGUUGAACCGCACAGAAUAAAUCAGAUCCCCCCCUAGUUCCGCCCUGGCAGCGAGGUCGGUCUUUGGCAAGCGCCACCAAAAUCCAUGGCUCUUAAAUUCUUAUGUAACAGUUAAUGACCCUCCCAGCCCACACUGGACAUCUCUCCCGUCGGAGAAGCGCAAGGGCCGGGAAGGAAGCGAGAGCAAUCUUUGCAAGCACGCUCAUUUGGUGGCGGAGGCACGGAUUGACUUCCAGCCUCGGUUCACUAUCGGAAAACGCCGCUGCGCGCUGGGCGCGUUGCAGUGAGGGG
ensembl:lncRNA